GAAACAAGGGAAAGGCAACAGAAACGGCGGGAAGCCAAACGGAAAGGGAAGAAAGAGAGGUCAAAACAAAGAGGUUGAUAAUGGAGUAGAUAAUGUUUCAGUGUCAGCCAACUUGACGGACACCCAAGUCAUUGUCAAGCGUUCACCCG